UGGGGAAUUUUGGACAAUGGGCGAAAGCCUGAUCCAGCAAUGCCGCGUGUGUGAAGAAGGCCUUCGGGUUGUAAAGCACUUUUGUCCGGAAAGAAAUCCUUGGCUCUAAUACAGUCGGGGGAUGACGGUACCGGAAGAAUAAGCACCGGCUAACUACGUGCCAGCAGCCGCGGUAAUACGUAGGGUGCAAGCGUUAAUCGGAAUUACUGGGCGUAAAGCGUGUGCAGGCGGUUUGCUAAGACCGAUGUGAAAUCCCCGGGCUCAACCUGGGAACUGCAUUGGUGACUGGCAGGCUAGAGUAUGGCAGAGGGGGGUUAGAAUUCCACGUGUAGCAGUGAAAUGCGUAGAGAUGUGGAGGAAUACCGAUGGCGAAGGCAGCCCCCAUGGGCCAAUACUGACGCUCAUGCACGAAAGCGU
rnacentral:rRNA from 1 species